rnacentral:rRNA from 1 species
CCUACGGGUGGCAGCAGUGGGGAAUAUUGCACAAUGGGGGAAACCCUGACGCAGCGAUUCCGCGUGAGUGAAGAAGUAUUUCGGUAUGUAAAGCUCUAUCAGCUGGGAAGAAAAUGACGGUACCUGAUUAAGAAGCCCCGGCUAACUACGUGCCAGCAGCCGCGGUAAUACGUAGGGGGCAAGCGUUGUCCGGAUUUACUGGGUGUAAAGGGAGCGUAGACGGCAGAAUAAGUCAGUAGUGAAAUGCCAGGGCUUAACCUUGGAACUGCCUUGGAAACUGUGCAGCUAGAGUGCAGGAGAGGUAAGUGGAAUUCCCAGUGUAGCGGUGAAAUUCGUAGAUAUUAGGUGGAACACCAGUGGCGAAGGCGGCUAUCUGGCCUGUCAUUGACGUUGAGGCUCGAAAGCGUGGGGAGCAAACAGGAUUAGAUACCCUUGUAGUC